GGGGGGGGGGGGGGGGGGGGGGGGGGGGGGGGGGGGGAGGGGAGAGGUGAGGGGCUGGCGCCUGGGACGUUAGCGGCGGACGGGGGAGUAACGCGUGGGGAACCUACCUAUAAGACUGGGAGAACUUCGGGAAACCGGAGCUAAUCCCGGGUAACAGUUGGAACCGCAUUGUUCUAAAGGUCAAGCUGGUGUUGCUAUCACCGCUAGAUGGACCCGCGCCGUACUAGCUAGUUGGUAAGGUCACCGCUUACCAAGGCAACGAUACGUAACCGACCUGCGCGGGUGAUCGGCCACACUGGAACUGAGACACGGUCCAGACUCCUACGGGAGGCAGCAGUAGGGAAUCUUCCGCACUGGGCGAAAGCCUGACGGAGCAACGCCGCGUGAGUGAUGAAGGGUUUCGGCUCGUAAAACUCUGUUAUUAGGGAAGAACAAACGUGUAAGUAACUGUGCACGUCUUGACGGUACCUAAUCAGAAAGCCACGGCUAACUACGUG
rnacentral:rRNA from 1 species